CACAAUGCCAUACAAAGCAACGACACAUCCCAGCGCGACACAACCACGAAGAAGAGCGACGUAAGUGGCACCCGCCUCUUAAAACAUCCCGUCUGCUUUGCUUCAACCCCACACACGUCCCUCCUCAUUCUCACCGGACCCCUUUUGAUGUGUAAAGAGGGCCGAGACCUCCGGGCAGCAUGAAAACACGAGCCAUCUGGUCUCAGGGGGUGAAAGGUCAAAUCUCUGGCUGGUAAUGAGGAUGGCGUUGCCAGGGGGAUGUAGGAGGGGCAGUGUGUGUGUGUUGUGAGGCCAAUGGCGACCGGCCUGUCUGCUUCCUGAAUCUUUUCCUCCCGUUAUCCCUCCCACCAUCCCUGGGGGGGGGGGCCUCAGUGAUGGAUGGUUUGGAACGCAGGGGUGAAGGUGGAGGAGUGUGUGAGCAACAACACAGCCAAGCUUCUGCUCCACACGUGACGCCUGUGUAAGCAGGGAGGCGGGUCCUCUGUGCCACCUCUUCUGCAUGUUGUUCUUCCGCCGUGCCUCACAUCCUGCGUGUGAUCAAACAACGUGCCGUAUAUGUCACCCCCCCGCCCCCACCUCCCCUUUCUGUGAUGCCAAAUAGCUGGGAACACGCCAGCUUGUUGUUGUGUUUUGUUUUUCCCUCCAUGGCAAAGUGCCUGCUGUGCUUAUCGAAGCCAAAAUGUGAGCACACUACCGUAGCUGCUGCUAAAGUAUUGGGACACGUAGCCACGCCCACAGGAAGUCAUCCUGUGCCGUGACGUCUGCUUCCGCUCAAACUUCUUGGCAGUUGUGAGGUCAGAGGUCACCGAUAUUGGACCUGAGAGCUAUACCAGAAGGACUUAAGUAUUGGGACACCUGCAGGAAGAGAAAAUAUGGUGUCGGUCGCUGUGGCUACUUCCACUCUCCAGGGAGUCUCCUGCAAGGUUUCCCAGUUUAUUCUUGUCGAUAAACUCGAGCACAUUGGGCGUUUUUGAGGUCAGAGGUCACCUGACAAACCGGAGAGCAAAACUACAAGGACAAAAGUAUCGGGACAGCUACAAGAAGAGAAAAUAGACACAAAUGCGGAGUUUGCGGCUGUCACGUCCACCCUAGGAGAAGACUUUCUUUAUGAUUUUCAACUUUGUCUUUGGGAAUUUAGGUCAUGGACACAAAUACGGAGUUUACUGCUGCAGCAACUUCCACCUUCCGGGAGGACAUUCAAUAAGAUUGGAGUUCAACGGUGGGAAUUUUGGCCGUUUGUGAGCUCAGAGGUCACCUGAGAGACCACAGAGCUAAAACACAAGGACACAAGGUUUGGGACAACUACAGGAACGGGGCAAGUACCACAUGAGCCACGCCGCCGCAUGUCUUGCUGGGAUGGAGACUCAAGAAUGAAAGAACCUGGUCACCUUUUGCAUCACCUGAUUGUAGCACAGCUGGAUGCCUCGAGGUGGAAAACUCCUUUGCUUUUGUUUUGUGAGACCCCGCCUCCACUACCCAGCCGUCCCCUCCCUUUCCCACUGCGUCCAUCUGCUCAGUGGAGUGGCUUGAAGAGACAUGCACACACACACACACAUGCACACACACACACCUUACACUUUUAAAAAUAGAAUGAUUUUGUCAGGCUAGACAAGUCCUCAAAAUGUCACCUGAACUUUCCCAUUAUGUAAACACACACACACACACACACACACACACACACACACACUCUGCAGGGUGAGCCUGUCCAUGGACAUGUUUAAUUGGACCCAGUAAGACAAUUAUGCUAUCAUUUUGUGUCUUGUCAUAUUGUUUCAUGAAGUAGAUUAAAGCGGUAGGAAUAUCCCCCCUCUUCUUUGUGGUGUUACCAUGGCGAUAAGAGCACAACCUUUGCCCUCUGGGCCCUGGCCUUUGCUCACCUCGAGGAGGGAUGGGCGUGAAAAACAAACUCUUCGUCACUGAGAGAUCCUCCAAUGAAAAUGUGUGCGUUCCUCCGUUCGUGUGUGUCUGCACAGUGCAAAAAAGGAAAUGGAGAUGCAAAAGGAAAAAGGCAAAUAUUUGAUGAUUUGACAGCUGCUUUAAUGUGUCAGCCCGCAGCCUGGCAGCACAGGGAAACUUCCUUUUGUAGAAGCGCAUUCUUAUUUCGUUUUCACGGAUUGUUCCCUGUCUUCUGCGUCUCGUGCGCUGCAACCCAAAGACAAGACAGAAAAAUAUUGAAAUUCACCUUUAAAUAAGACGACAGUGGAGGAAUGGAAAAGAUGAGACACAAACACUGCAAAAUAGCUUCUUAUGAUGCAAAUAUUCAGCCAACAAUAAGAUCAUGUUCAUGAAUGGAAUCAUUUUAAUGGAUGAAUGAAUUUACCAAACAAAUGUUCAACCAUGAGGCACAACUCUCUUAGAAGUCUUUUCAGGGCACAAUAAGCAUUUUAAAAUCAAAUUGGUAACACCAGACACCUUUUUAUUGUAAGUUUUUCACUAAUGAAAUACGCUCAUGUGUUUCUGAGAUUGACAUUUCCGUUUGUUUUUUCUCAUUUAAUUCAAUUUCUAUCAUGACAAUGUUUCCUACCGAGGCGUGGCACCCAUUUUAACGAUAUCAAUGCUGUAUAAUGUAUAAUAUAUCAUGGGUUUUGUAGAAAUUACAGCUUAUUCAUUUUGUAAUUUAUAUAAAUAUAUAUGAAUACAUUUUAUAUGAAUUGAAAUAAUAAAUCAAAAUUAUGAAUAAUGAACCGAAAUUGAGGCUACAAGAAAAAUAUUUUUGUGUAUAGUUAAUUUAGUUAAAUUACAAAUAAAUAAAGAAUUAAAAUGAGAUAUUUGACCAUAUUUAAUAUAUUUACUUUCCAAAUGUAAACAACCCAACAUUAAUGUAGGAAGGAACGGUGAGGUAUAUUUGUCUUGUUUUAAUUGUAGUGGUGACCGUGUGUGCUGUGAGUCUGGAAGAUGAAUUGAUGAGCUCAGAAGGUGCUAUUUGAGUCCUGUUGGAGGAUGUUUAUUUGUGCGCCUACAAGAUAAACAACCGCGCUCUUUCUUGCUUGUUUAUUUUCCGCUCACGGAGAAGGCGCCUACGUGCACACACAAUAAAGCACACGCAUGCACAGAGAGUGUGUGUGUGUGUGUGUGUGUGUGUAUAAGAAGUGUGAAAAAUCUCAUUAAUGCAGUGUGGCUGCUGAGCCGCGGCUGCUGCUAAGUCCCCUUGUAUUGUCACUCUCCUCUAGGGCCCCUGAGCACUAGCUAGCUAACUAGCAUCAUCGCCAUGGAGACCCCGCCAGCUAUGCUUCCCCACUCAUCCUCAACACUCCCACCCUGACACACAUAUACACACACAUACACACACCUUGCAGCCUCUUCCUCCCUCUCCUGCCUCCUACUCACGCUCUCUUUUUGUCCGCUGACAAAGCUUGACAAACCGCAUGUGACUUGCGGGGCUUAGCACGGGGGAAUCGUCACUGAUUCACACACAGUUCAAACUCUCACGGAGGGGAAAAAAGCAGCCAUAUUGAUUUUUAACGAUGGCAGCCAGUCGGAGGACCCUCACAGCCUGCUGAGACGGAAACAAGGAAGUCAGCGGGAAUUGUCCAACACGCGGGGGUCCCUGUUAUUUAGUUUUUUGCAAUACAAAAAUCAUUGAAUGCCUUUUUACCGUAGUCUUUUUUUAGUCAUUGUUUUUGUAACACGUCAAAUGAAUGUUGACAAACACAGUAUUGUCUUCUUACCACAUUUUUGUCACAAGAAGUUCCAAUGCUAACAGUAAGGGUUUACAGUCCUCCCUCGUUUAUCGCGCUUAAUUGGUUCCAGACCCGACCGUGAUAUGUGAAUUUUGAAGUAGGAUUCAAUAUUAAUAAACAGAAGAUUUUCGUCAUUAGUGCAUAGAAAAGCUAUUUAUGACUUUCAACAUUACUAGAGCCCCGUAGACAUGAAAUCACGACCCCAUAGUCACUUUUACACUCCCGUUAUUCUUUGUUUUCAUCACAUUUCACAGGCGACAGGUACAUAACAGACGGCCGCGCUAGCAUAGCAAGCCAGCGAGCUAACUAGGUAGCCUCUCCAACUUACUUAUUCUAAACAUAAGAAGUCCUUCAAACGGAGUGGGGAAAAAGGACAAAGAAGCCAAAAACUUACCACUUCCACACAGAAUGAGAGGAGAACCUUUUUUUCCCCCACUCGAUCUCAGCCGUGGCAUGUCCGUCUCAGCCAUGGCAUGUGGGCUGGGCUCUGCUGGCUCAGUAGUCAGUCUCCACUCAGGGUGAAAGGUCAUGUCAUCUAACGUCAUGUCUCUUAACCCUACUGACGCCGAGUGACCACAAUACUACAUAGACCUUGACUUUCAAUAUUUUUUGACUAAUAAUCGGCCAAAGCAGCCAUCCUUUAUUAAUAAUUAAAAAAAAAAAACGCAAUAUAGUAUGGGAGCGAUAUUCGAAACAUUAAAAGAAUGUGAAUGAAUGAUAAAAGAAUGAAGCCUAAAUAGUAAGUAAAGGAAUGAAAUUAACUGAUAUAAUGAACAUACUUGGCAUAAACAUCUGCAAUAAGCAGAGAAAUAUGUCAUAGAUAAUGAUAAUCAUGUGCAAAACAAGUAUUUUCACUAAGCGAUGCACAUCUUGCCCCUUACACAGGACGGGCCAGAAGUUUGGACACACUGCGUUUUCUUUAUUUUCAUGAUUAUUUACAUUGUCGAUUCUCACUGAAGGCAUCAAAACUAUGAAGGAACACACGUGGACACGUGGACUUAACUCCAAAUAUGUCUCAUAUUUUAGAUUCUUUAAAAAGUAGCUUUUUUUUGAUAGCGUUGUAAAGCCUUGGUGUUCUCUGUGAGCUUCAUGAGGUGGUUUCCACUUCACGGGUGUGCCUCGUCGGGGUUACGUAGUGGAGUUUCUUGCCUCAUUCAUGGGGUUGGGACCAUUACUUGUGUUGCGUGUGUCAAUGAUGGUUGUAUUAUUUGAUGUGUUCAAUUCAUAUUGAAUGAUGUUACAUUUCAUUUAUCAAUUUUUGUGCUUAAAUCCAAAUACGAAACACAAUUCUUGCAAUAAUUGCUUCACUCAAAACACCUCGCAAAAGUAUUUCCCGAGCUCAGUGCGUGACGAGUGUACAAUUGGACAUUUAACGCUGCCAAAAGCACGCAGGCAUUUUCACAACGGCUCUCUUGUCUUGCAUGAUUGUCGUUAAUUUGACGUGAAAUCACAACAGCAGUCCAGCCGUUCGCAUUAAACGACUUACACACGAGUGAUCUCCAUCC